GGACUGUGAGUUUCCCGCUCAUGGGGCAAACAGCAAACGAUCAGACAUUGCAAGAAGAAUUUUUUUAAUUGCAUUAUGAUGCAGUGUAACCACAGUGUUACAGCUACAUGUAAACGCGUUUGAGUCCUUGAAAGCACCAGUGGGGGCGUUCGUUUCAGGGCUCUGGGCUUCCAGGCACAUCUGUUAUCAGUUUGUGGGCUUGAACCAAAAUGGCCACUGCCGUGCUACAGUUUCAAGCCGCUGGGCAAAUUUCGUUACUCUACCAAGCUGAUCUGACACUGACGUGGCACUUGAGCAGUCGUUUCAGCGCCUUUAGGUAUUGCAUGUGAAUUUAAGUGCAGGGAAUCACAUACUGCUUGUAAUAUAUUGACGUAUUAACUGAAGCUUGAAGUUGAACCGACCGACCUCCCUUGUUAAAGUGGAAUACAGAAUCAGAUUCAGUUUAUAUUUUUGCCCCGAUUUGUUUAAGUCAUCACCUCUGUUUUAUUAUUCAAUAAAAAUUUUAGUAUUGUUCAGGAUUUUAUGAAUAAUUGAUUUUUCCCGGGGAAAGGUAGCUUAAGAAAAUGGCUUAUUUUGCCCUUUUCCUCAGCAUCACCAAAACACCACAUUCCACUGAAUGAUGGGCUCGGGGAGGCGGAGGGCACAUUAUUGUGUGGCACUUUUCAAUUUGUCUGUCACUGCAACUUUGGGAAGAAUCGGUGAAGUUGUCUUUAGUGAGCUAUUCCUAAUGUUUGAUGUAUUUUCUUGCCAGCAGAGGAGUUGGAGACCAAGGUUGAUGCCAUGUCUUUGAUGAAGAUACACUGAUCCUGGUAGAUCCUGCCAAAAGGGGGAGCUGUAUUGCUUUCUCAUCUGCCCAAAUUUGUGGAUAGACAAGCAGCAAAUUAUCUCUAAGUCCCAGCAGCAGUGUGCUGUGAGGUUCCUCCAAGAGCCAACAUCCAUCUCACUUCAGCCUGCCUGCCUGUCUUCUUCUCUGCUCUCCAGUGACUGCUUUGCUCCUCGCCAAUCCUCGGUAACAAGACAGAUGGAAGUGCCUCAGCAAGACCCCAAAGACGUCAUUAUUUCAAGAUAUAAGCUACACUCUGAGUGAUGCUUUCAGAAAUGAAGACUUUGCUUUGUUACACUGUUGGAUGUGUUAUCAAUUUACUCACUUUUGCACUCUGAUUUUGUCUCGUAGCAAAAGUAAAAACUAAAAUAGGAAAACAUUAAAAUAUAAGGUUCCAUACGGGCCACUGAUAGUCACACGCAUGCUAUCCACAUCGGCUCAACUUUGAAUGUAGAGUCCUUUAGGUGUGACAAAACGCUUGGAAGGUAUUGUGUGUCAAGUGUUCCACUGACAAACAAAUUUAUCAGUGUCACUGCUCCUAUUCUUCUCUUAUCUUGUUAUGCUUCCUGUCACAGGUCUACAGAAAGGUUGUUGACCAUCUGUCAGCUACUGAGCAAUACAGAAGAACUAGUGUUCCCCAACCACUUGUGAGAAGUUGCUGAAGGUUGCUGGCAGUCACUUUGAUGUUAAAGCCCCAUUCAUGGAGGCCAUGAGCCUGGUCAUGACCAGACUUCCUGAUAACCAUCAGUCACAAAGUUCAAAUGUGCAUUCUACAACUGGGAUGGUUACUGGAAGUUGUUGGCAGGCGCAAUUUGAAAAACUUCCUUGUGAUUGUUUUGGUUGCUAAAGGAUUGCCAUUGUCUAUCAGAAGAUGCUGACCUGUCUGCAAACGCUUGCUGUUUAUUCUCUAAGCUGUAGUAGUACUAUUCACAGAGUUUCAUAGUGACCUAAGCCAAGCUCCAAAAAAUUACAAGUAUUUAUUUCUGGACAAAACCAAGAAAAAUAGUACUUUAGAACAAAACUGAAGAAUACAGUCAAAUGGGAGGAAGCUUGAAAAAAGGCCAGAAGCAGGACUGCAUUAGCAAAAACAAAUGUUUUAUCCAGUAAAACAUGAAAAAUCUAUCUGUCAGAAUAGCUGUGUACAACUGAAAUCCAGUUCAACAAACCAGACAAAUGUUUUGCGGUGUGUUCAAUCAGCACAGACAGCGAGCAUGUACACUUCAUUUUCACACAAAUGGAACCUCACAUGAAGAAAUCAAAAACAGCACGGCUGGUCCUUGUCCUCAUUCUUGUGCCGAAAGCUUUGCCUGCUGGGCGGUGUUCUCUCCCUCUCUCUCUUUUUCCUCCGGAUUUUCAAAAAGAACCGAAGAUUUUUGAAAUUCUCCAUUAACCUUGAUGUGUUUUGACGGCUACAGCCCAUCACUGUCUUCAGCUCGCUUUGAGAAGCCACAACCACGUCCAAUUAUCUAUCCGUUGGGGUGCUUUCAUGUCUUUGAGAUGUUUAGUCACAAAUGUGCGUAUUGUGCCCCGGUGUCACAGCUUUUCAUGCUCCAGCUCUGUCGCUCAUCCAUGUCAUUACAUAGCUUUUAGCGAAGGGGAAAGAUGGUGGGAGAGAGAAAGAAAGAGAGGCAAAGGAUAGAAGAGAGAGGGAGGGAGAAGAGUCGGGCCUGUCGAAUGACAUUUUGUCUGUGUGUCCAGGCUAUUGUUUGCUAGGGGAGACAACACCAGUCACUGCAGUUACACUGGCUGGCAGAGUGACACACGCACAUACCCUGGAUCAAAAUAGCCUCAGGUACACACACAAACGUGCACGAUAUUUGUCUCUAUCUUCAUGUCGGCACUGAAAAUAAUUGUUUUUGUGGGUGUUUUAAACAAAAUAGUUCCAUUUUCGGUCUGUAGUUGAUUGUACAACCGACGACUAUAUGCCGCUGAAACAAUGCAAUCAAAGCACAUUCACGCUGCCGUGAUAUUAAGCCACUCUGUGCUUAAUGUCAGGUUGUUUGUCCCCUGCAGGUAUCCACACAAUUGUACAUACAAAAACACGCAGGCAUGCACAACCAUAAAAUCUGAAAUAUAUAAGCACACACACGUGCACGCUCAUAGCCACACACAAAGUUGCGGUUACAGCAGGCUCCCCACACUGAGCCAGCAUAAUUAGCACACUCGUUAAACUCAUCUGCAUCUCUCUUCAAAGGAGAUCGAUGCAAAUGGAUAGGACUUAGCCACUGGCAGCAAUUAGGCCAAAAACAUAUCCUAGCUGGAGAAACUUGGUUCCAGCGAGGCAAAAUUGGUUUCAUUGUGGGGAAUAAAUGCGUUUUCUGCCCCUGCAAUGAGCACAUAAUAGAAUCCAAACUGAAUACUUUCAUUUACUCUCUUGUCAAAUCAAGUUGUGUUUAAUCACGUUCGGCACCAGCCCUCCUGGUUAUCACAUAAUCCUGGGCUCUAAGGGAGAACAGAGUUUCAUUAGGAAAAUGCAACACCAUCACCGAUUCAUUCUGCUAACAGGUCUCGGCUUCGCUGCCAUACACUCAUCUAGGUUAUUCCCAUUUUGUUGUCAAAAAACUAUUAGAAACACUUACAUGACCCACACAGUGCACUAGGUGGCCUGUUAUUUACUGCGAACUUCAUUUGUUGACUUAGUCAUGUGGCAGUAACAUUUAGUCCUGUAGACAUGAUCAAGACAAUGCGCUGAACUUCAAACCAGAUGGUUUGGUCUGAGUAUUUCAAAAACUCCUGAUCUACUGGGAUUUCCCCACACAGCCAUCUCUGGGGUUUAUAGAGAAUAGUCCAGAAAAGAGAAAGUAUCCAGUGAUUGGCAGUUCUCAAGUAUCUUGAUGAUCAAAGGAAAAUGGUCAUGGAUAGGAAGGCAACAGUAACUCAAGUAACCACUUGUUACAAUGAUUGUAUCAGAACUCGUGAUGCACAACACAUUAAAUCUUCAAGGAGAUGGGCUUCAGCAGCAGAGGACCACACCGGGUGCUACUCCUUUCAGCUAAGAACAGGAAACUGAGGCUACGGUUCACAUGGGCUCAUCAAAUUUGGACGAUAGGAGAUUGGAGAAAUGUUGCCUGGUCUAAUAAGUCAUGAUUACUGCUGUGACAUUCAGAUGGUAGUGUCAGAAAUUGGCACAGACAGCAUAAAAACAUCUAUUCUGUUUUGUGUCAGUGGUUCAAACUGAUGGUGCUGUAAUGGUAUGAGGGAAAAAUCCAGUGAACAGCAGUUCUCUGGACCAAAAUGCCUUGAAUAGCCAGACUGCUUCAAGCUGAAAGCUGAUAGGAAAGCAAGUGUAAUUCAUAUAACUUCUUGUUACACCAACGGUUUGCAGAAAAGCAUGUCCAAAUGCACAACAUGGCAAAUCUUGAAGCAGAUGGGCUACAGCAGUAGAAGACCACACCAAUGCCACUCCUGUGAGAACUGGAAAACUUUUCUCAAAAAUUGGAAAAUAAA